CUGAAAACAGGCACCAACUCUGCCUAAUGGGGAAUCCAGCCCUGUGUAUACCAAACAUGUAUAUUUUGAAUGCAAGGAAUAUUUUUGCACCCUGUUCUUUUAUUGGAACUUUGAAUUCAAGUAUAAUCAACAGAUUCAGAGAUACUUCUCAUAAAAUACAUUAAUUAUCUAAAAUCCAAGUCACAUUAGUCAUGUUUUGGACGUAAAAACCCAAGGGCAGAGUACAGAAUAUUUGAUAGAGUCCUAACCUCAACAUAUGAGGAAAGGGAUUUAGGGGUGAUUAUUUCUGAUGACUUAAAGGUAGGCAGACAAUGUAAUAGAGCAGCAGGAAAUGCUAGCAGAAUGCUUGGGUGCAAAGGGAGAGGUAUUAGCAGUAGAAAGAGGGAAGUGAUCAUGCCAUUG